rnacentral:rRNA from 1 species
CUCCCAGACUCCUACGGGAGGCAGCAGUCGGGAAUAUUGCGCAAUGGAGGAAACUCUGACGCAGUGACGCCGCGUGCAGGAAGAAGGUUUUCGGAUUGUAAACUGCUUUAGACAGGGAAGAUACAAGACAGUACCUGUAAAAUAAGCUCCGGCUAACUACGUGCCAGCAGCCGCGGUAAUACGUAGGGGGCAAGCGUUAUCCGGAUUUACUGGGUGUAAAGGGAGCGCAGGCGGCGCGGUAAGUCUGAUGUGAAAGCCCGGGGCUCAACCCCGGGACUGCAUUGGAAACUGUCGUGCUGGAGUGUCGGAGGGGCAAGUGGAAUUCCUAGUGUAGCGGUGAAAUGCGUAGAUAUUAGGAGGAACACCAGUGGCGAAGGCGGCUUGCUGGACGACAACUGACGCUGAGGCUCGAAAGCGUGGGGAGCAAACAGGAUUAGAUACCCCAGUAAUU